rnacentral:misc_RNA from 1 species
GAUGAAGAACGUAGCGAAAUGCGAUACUUGGUGUGAAUUGCAGAAUCCCGUGAACCAUCGAGUCUUUGAACGCAAGUUGCGCCCGAAGCCACUAGGCCGAGGGCACGCCUGCCUGGGCGUCACACGCCGUUGCCCCCCCAUCUACUCCUUCGGGAUUGCGGGGGGGCGGAUGAUGGCCUCCCGUGCGCCUAGCCGCGCGGUUGGCAUAAAUACCAAGUCCUCGGCGACGCACGCCACGACAAUCGGUGGUUGCGAAACCUCGGUUGCCCGUCGUGUGCGUUCGUCGCGCAUCGNGGGCUCGAAAAAAUGCUCGGCUCCGGCUGGGCUUUCAACGCGACCCCAGGUCAGGCGGGGUUACCCGCUGAAUUUAAGCAUAUCAAUAAGCGGAGGA